ACUGAAUUCUUAUGGACUGCAUCAAAGAUAAAGAGCCUGAGAUGUCAACCUCGCAACUCUUCAAGCCUGGUCAGAUCUUUCCUAACACAUAGAACUACCUACAUCCCUUUUAGAUGGCACAUCAUUUAACAAAGUUACAGAUGCUAGACACCAAGUUGCAGAUGCUACCAUGAUUCCACCCUGACUUCUCUGGGAAGAUGAUCUCACCAGUGUGUCCUGGAACCUCACUCUCCAGAGCCCUACCCCACUAGGGAAAGAUGGAGAUGGGAUACGGUUCACUGUGCUUGGUGAACAUCCUACAGAAUCAUGCUACAGAGUUUUCCAGCAAACUCAACUUGUGCAUUUCCCUUUCAAGUAAGUGGGAUUAGUCAGACUGCUGUACCUACAUGCCAGGUAAAUCUCUAUUGAUGAGAAUUACUCUCUACCAUACCUACUUUCAUUUGUAUUAAAGUCAUAAGAUUUCUGAGCAUUUUCUGGGGGGCUCUUUCAUGUUGGCAUUUGUCUCACCAACAGAUGUCAAAACUCUUACAACCACAAAUCCACCAGUCAUCUCACCCAUCAAUGAAAGAUAUUUCUGCAGCCUUAGUGUCAUUUGGUAAACUGGAAACUGGUCACACCUUUUCUCAUCUAGGGAAGUGGAAGCCAUGGCAAUAUUUCUGACUAGAGUACAACGGCUGUCAGGCACUGCAGAGUGGCACUGCUCAAGUGACAAAUUAUGUAAACUCAGACUGUAGAAAGUUCCAGAAGUUCAAAUUACAGAUCUUCUGAGUAAUGUUGAGGGAA